ensembl:lncRNA
GUGUGGAGUCCUCUGGCUGUGUUAGCGUUUUAGAUCCAGAUAGUGGUGAUGGAACAGCCGCUGCUCAAGCUGUUGAGUAAAGUGGGUUGCUCUGUUCUUGGAGUGGAUUCUUGUAACGGUGUAUUCAGCUGAGCUCUGAGUUUUUGUGUUUCGACUGAUGAAAGCUGUGUUUUUGUGUUAACCUACGGGGAGACUCGUAGAUUGCUGGGCACAGAUCACACUUCCAAGUUGUAACUUUACAGUAGGGAUGUUCUAACUCAAAAAAAUUUCAGGCAAGAGAGAUCCAUGCAUUUACAUAUUUUAGGAGGAAGCUGAGAAGUAUAAAAGGACACAGGAGGUUAGGAUGUAAGUGUACUUCUGUUAAAGCCCUAAAAUCUUUUAAUUUCGGAGAGGUCAUCAGUUGCAUGCUGCCAACAGUGUAUAACAGUUCAAGUUCUUUAGCUUUAUUUAUUUAUUUUUUUACAGUUGUUUCCCUGCUUAGGACCUGUGUGGGGAUGUGUGGAAGGAUGUUGUCCGAAGGGAACCUGUCUUCAGCAGAGAAGACCAUGAAUCCCUGGAGACAAGAGCCAGUGGGAUGUGCAUUUUAGGUGUGCCCAGUACCUGGGUUUUCUUUGGAAGCAGCAUAAUCCACCUUGCACAAAGGCAUCCUUAGUUUCUAUUUUAGUAGUGACUGAUGCAGGUUUAUUUCAUGCCCUGGAUCCAUGGCUUUUAAGAUUAUCCUAAGGAAGGCAUUGUUCAGAAGCAUUUGGAAGAAGCAAACAGCCAAGAGGAGAAGACUGAGCCAACGACUGGAUUAGGGAAGGGAGCAGGCAGGACUGAGGCACCUACAGCUGGGAGAAAGAGGCUGACAGCAAUCGGAACCAGUGAUCUGGAGCAGAGGAAGGACAUGGCUGGUGGAAUCUGGCAACUGAUCCAGGGACAGAAGCUAGCCAUGCAUUAACUAUGCCACGUAAAGAAGUUUUGAACGACUAAAGAAAAACCUUGUAUCCAGAAAAACUGUUUAUAGCAUCAUUUGUCCAGACUAUAAAUUAAGAAAUCCAAGUUAACAUCUAGACCUUUAAAAAGCAAAAAGAAACAAAAACAUCCCCAUUUCUGCUACAUCUCCAGGUGAUAACAGUAUGUUGUCAACUAAAUCAAUGUAAAUGAGUGCUGAAUUCAGUGUUUUCUCACUUAGCUGUGAAGUAUUGAGUGUUUCUUCAGUGGCAUUUUAUUCAAAGGUACCAGCUGGAAAGGAGGAGGAGAAGCUGUGGCUCCAGAGACUCACUGUCAGCUGUUCCAUGCAGCACCACUGACUGCUAGAUCCUGCUUUGGGGCAUUCAUCGUACAUGUGGCUUCUGAGGGCUUCCUGUGCUCCCAUUAUCCUAUUAUUUUUUUCUCCUUUUGUGAGUUCACCAGAUGACUGAAUGCACAAGGUUAAUAUUGAACUCAGUGAGUCCUUAGAUGGAACUGCUACAACCUGAUGGAAAGUCAUAUUUCUUUUUUUGAAGAUGGGAUAACCUAGUAGUGCCAAUGGCUGUUUGCACAUACGGAAAAAAAAAGGUGAGUCUGUAAGAUCUGAUAACGUUCUCUGUUCCCAGUAUCUUGCAAUAAAUGCCAUAAAAAACCCA